UGAAGCUCUAAAGGGUGAGUUCCAACUUUUACCUUCCUGCUAUUGGAGUCUCAAACGCGUUGCUCUCCUACGCUUAAUUAAAUAUUCAUCAGGCAGACAAUGGAAAAGUUUUAAAUACUCAUCAAGUUGUGGCUGCGUCUCCCAAGACACACCCACACCGUACGUUUCCUUCUUGAUUUCGAGAUUUCGUUUGUUACCCUUAUGGCAAGUUCGCACUAAUCAAUAUCAACAAAUCAGCAUUUACUUUGUAUUUGAAAUCCAUGACUACCCUUAGUCUUCUUCUUCUUCUUCAGCUCGUCUCACUUUCUCUGCAGUCAUAAGUGGAAUUCCCCCAUGGAACAUUAAAAUCUCGUUUAUUCACAUCAAACUAUAAACCUUAUACGAGAACCCAACCCUUUUCCAAAUACAUUUCUUGCUUUGUUUACAGACUUACGGGCGUGUAACAACAACAUAGAGCGCAUAGAGUGAGCAUACUGUGCCUUGCUCUAAAGUUUUAGGCAAACAUUCAUACAGCAAAAUCAUUUGAGCCCUACACCAGAUACGUAUCCCUCGCGGAGAGUGACCCCAAAAAUAAUUGACUUGGACGGGUAUGGGGAGGAUAAGCAACCCUCCAAUCAACAGCUAGAGCGAAAUUCCAGUUUCGUAUCCUAAACACAACAGCCAUCAAACCCCUUUUGCAUGUGAACCCAUUUGGGCCAGGAUUGCCGUAAAUACAAUUAACUAGCUGUGACACCCACACAUUAAGAAGCGCAAGGUAUGCCAUAAUUGGGAAAACAAAGCCUGUUUGAUGUCGCAGUGCAAGACCAAAAAAUGCCAGAGAACAGAGAAUUCGCUCAACUCUUGUACAGGAAAUAUACAUCAAACGCAGUCCUUGUCAUCAUAUGUGACAUAUUUGAAGUCAGAUAAGCGUAUCCCAGAGUAUAUCGCCAGAAGUGGGGUGAAAAGACGAACUGAAAUCAUGUUAUUCUUUAUUAAAUAUUCAUGUUUGCUGUACAUCCUAAAAUAGAACGAGUCACAGUGCCUACCUUAACGUAGGUGCUUCAACU